rnacentral:rRNA from 1 species
GACGUACGCUGGCGGCGUGCUUAACACAUGCAAGUCGAACGGAAAGGCCCUGCUUUUGUGGGGUGCUCGAGUGGCGAACGGGUGAGUAACACGUGAGUAACCUGCCCUUGACUUUGGGAUAACUUCAGGAAACUGGGGCUAAUACCGGAUAGGAGCUCCUGCUGCAUGGUGGGGGUUGGAAAGUUUCGGCGGUUGGGGAUGGACUCGCGGCUUAUCAGCUUGUUGGUGGGGUAGUGGCUUACCAAGGCUUUGACGGGUAGCCGGCCUGAGAGGGUGACCGGCCACAUUGGGACUGAGAUGCGGCCCAGACUCCUACGGGAGGCAGCAGUGGGGAAUAUUGCACAAUGGGCGGAAGCCUGAUGCAGCAACGCCGCGUGCGGGAUGACGGCCUUCGGGUUGUAAACCGCUUUCGCCUGUGACGAAGCGUGAGUGACGGUAAUGGGUAAAGAAGCACCGGCUAACUACGUG